GCAGGGGUGGCAGAACGGUUAUGCACUCCCCUGCAGAGGGAGUUAAGAGGGUUCGACUCCCUUCCCUUGCU
rnacentral:tRNA from 1 species